rnacentral:pre_miRNA from 1 species
ACUGAUUUCUUUUGGUGUUUAGAGUGUUUUACUCAAUCUAGCACCAUUUGAAAUCAGUUA